GGGAAACACAAUUUCCCUUCUUUGUGCUUUUCUUGUAGGAAAAAUAAUAAAGGAGAACUAGAGUUGAGAAUGACAGAUCUAAGUUAAGACUAAGGCCGUCCGACACCAUCUUCUGUAGACCCUGGUCUUUGGUUUGUAUGUUCCCAAAGCCUAAAUCGAGGCUGAAUCUAUCAUGAGCCAAUAUCCCCGAGUGACCAACAGAGGCUGAGAGGGGAGACGGUUUCCUCCAAGAGGUUAGUAAAGGGCUCC
rnacentral:lncRNA from 1 species